rnacentral:rRNA from 1 species
UACGUAGGGGGCGAGCGUUGUCCGGAAUCAUUGGGCGUAAAGAGCGUGUAGGCGGACUGGCAGGUCUGGUGUGAAAGCCCGGGGCUCAACCCCGGAGGGUCACUGGAAACCAACAGUCUUGAGUCCGGAAGAGGAGAGUGGAAUUCCUGGUGUAGCGGUGGAAUGCGCAGAUAUCAGGAGGAACACCAAUGGCGAAGGCAGCUCUCUGGUACGUGACUGACACUGAGACGCGAAAGCGUGGGGAGCGAACAGG